rnacentral:rRNA from 1 species
AAUCAACGCUGGCGGCGCGCCUAACACAUGCAAGUCGAGCGAGAAAGGGGCUUCGGCCCUGAGUAAAGCGGCGCACGGGUGAGUAACACGUGGGUAAUCUGCCCUAGAGUGGGGAAUAACACCGGGAAACCGGUGCUAAUACCGCAUACGAUCACGAUGUCUUCGGAUGUUGUGAUGAAAGGAGCAAUUCGCUCUUGGAGGAGCCCGCGGCUGAUUAGCUAGUUGGUGAGGUAACGGCUCACCAAGGCUACGAUCAGUAUCCGGUCUGAGAGGACGGUCGGACACACUGGAACUGAGACACGGUCCAGACUCCUACGGGAGGCAGCAGUGGGGAAUUUUUCGCAAUGGGGGCAACCCUGACGAAGCAACGCCGCGUGGGUGAUGAAGUCUCUUGGGACGUAAAACCCUUUCGACGGGGAAGAAAACCGCAAGGUUUGACGGUACCCGUAGAAGAAGCCCCGGCUAACUCCGUGC